CCACACCGCCCGUCACACCAUGGGAGUUGGAUUCACUCGAAGGCGUUGAGCUAACCCGCAAGGGAGGCAGGCGACCACAGUGGGUUUAGCGACUGGGGUG
rnacentral:rRNA from 1 species